GAUGGUUAGAUUCCAAGAUCACUUAUCUCUGUUAAAUCUACUACCUGGAGACGGCAGCUGGGAGAUAGUUCGCACCAGAGAUGGCAAGGGAGAAGCUGGGAGCUGGAAGUUUUCUACUGGUGGUGUGCUGCUGAGCUGGGGCAAGAGACUAACUCCUUAGAUCUAUUAAAUCUCAAUGAGUUAAAUGAUUUUGUGACAAGCAAAUAUUGGGGAAAUACCAUUUCCAGUGAGACCCUGAAGGACACAGCAGAUUGGCAAAUGAAUAUACAGUUUUCACAGGGGCGUGGCACGCCAUGGAGGUCAGGGUGCCGGGCACUUGAGGAAACGCCAGGCUUAGUCAGGAGGCAGAGGAAGUGAGCGGAAAAUGUGGAUGAUGGCUGAUGCAUCCUGACAUGGUUGAAUUAACAUGCACAGGAAUCCCAGAGGAGAGUGCUGAGCAAGCUGAGAUACUGAAGCCCCCGCCAGCUGGAGGAGGAUGACCGCAUGAUGACCAGACUGAAGCCAUGACAUAAGCUGCUCCACUUCACACAAUUCCGAGAACUGGCCUCAAAGAAAUGGGAACAAACCCCGGAACUAAAGGUUAACUGUACUUAAAACAACCGAGGUGACACUGAUCAGACCACCACAUGACUGGUUUCAAGAUGACCUUCAGAACUGACUGUGCUGUUCCGCUCCCUCCGCCUACAACCCCGAAACUCUCCUUUAAAAGCCCCUGUCCCCUGAGGAGCCAGCGGGAGUUGGUUCUCAGACGGGAGUCCACCCUCUCCCCCAGUUGCCAGCCUCCGACAUAAAGUCAGCUUUCCAUUCCUACCAACACGUGUCUCUCGAGAAUUGGCUCUCAAGCGGUGAGCAGCCGGACCUGGGUUCGGUAACACUCCCAGUUCUAUCUUUCAAUCCUGAUAAUCUUCAUUUUUCUGUUAAUUAUUCUUCAUCUGUAUUGCUGUAGUGCUGUAGGAUAACUACAUUAUCAGUCAUUUAUUUCUCUUCCUGCGAGCAAUUUUUGAUAGUAAAGACAAUGGGAAGAGUCAGGAAACCUAUGAGGUACCUCGGAGAGAGGAAAGAGGCUAUCACCAAGAGAGGAGAAACAGGUAGGCAGUAACACAAGUCAGAGCAGUAGUGUGGCUUAUGGAGGGAGGCCCAGCGGGUUCUAGUUAAUUCCAUCUCUGAUAUGGGACAAGGUGUUUUCUUUACAACUCCCACUGCUUGUGGGAUGGCAUAAUGGUACAACCUUUGAAAAAUAUUUUGGCAGUUUUGCACAAAGUUAAAUACACACUUUCCAUAUGGCCCAGCCAUUCCACUCCUAGGUAUUUAUGUAAGGGAAACGAAAGCAUCUGUCUACACAAAGACUUAUACAUGAAUGUUCAUAGCAGCUUUUUUUGUAGUAACUAAAAACUGAAAUGUCCAUUUACAGUGAAUGGAUAAACAAGCUGUGGUACAUCCAUACCUUGGAAUACCACUCAACAAUAAAAAGGAAUAAAACAUUGAUAAUGAACAUCAUGAAUGAACUACAGAAUAAUUAUGCAGCGUGAAAGAAUUCAGACAAACAAAAUAUUCUAUUUGAUUUCAUUUUGUAUAAUAUUCUACAAAAUGCAAACUACCUAUAGUGGCAAAAAUAUAUCAGUGUUUACCUUAAGACUGGGGAGGACUGGAGAAAGGGUGUACAAAGGGGCGUGAGGAAAUGUUUGGAUGUGACGGAUGUGUUCAGUGUCUUGAUUGU